rnacentral:rRNA from 1 species
GACGAACCGUGCGAACGUUAUUCGGAAUCACUGGGCUUAAAGCGCGUGUAGGCGGAAGGGCACGUCCGUUGCUGAAAUCCCCCGGCUCAACCGGGGAACGGGCGCGGAUACGACUCUUCUGGAGGGGCGUAGGGGGACCUGGAACUUCCGGUGGAGCGGUGAAAUGCGUUGAGAUCGGAAGGAACGCCCGUGGCGAAAGCGAGGUCCUGGACGCCUACUGACGCUGUGACGCGAAAGCCAGGGGAGCGAACGGG